rnacentral:rRNA from 1 species
GGAGCGAACGCUGGCGGCAGGCCUAAUACAUGCAAGUCGAACGGACCCUUCGGGGUUAGUGGCGGACGGGUGAGUAACACGUGGGAACGUGCCCUUUGGUUCGGAACAACUCAGGGAAACUUGAGCUAAUACCGAAUGUGCCCCCAUCCUUAAACAAGAUGGGUGGGAAAGAUUUAUCGCCAUUGGAGCGGCCCGCGUCUGAUUAGCUAGUUGGUGAGGUAAAGGCUCACCAAGGCGACGAUCAGUAGCUGGUCUGAGAGGAUGAUCAGCCACACUGGGACUGAGACACGGCCCAGACUCCUACGGGAGGCAGCAGUAGGGAAUCUUGCGCAAUGGGCGAAAGCCUGACGCAGCCAUGCCGCGUGAAUGAUGAAGGUCUUAGGAUUGUAAAAUUCUUUCAGCGGGGACGAUAAUGACGGUACCCGCAGAAGAAGCCCGGCUAACUUCGUGCCAGCAGCCGC